UACGUAGGGGGCAAGCGUUGUCCGGAAUCAUUGGGCGUAAAGAGCGUGUAGGCGGCCCGCUAAGUCCGCUGUGAAAGUCCAGGGCUCAACCCUGGGAUGCCGGUGGAUACUGUCGGGCUCGAGUCCGGAAGAGGGGUGUGGAAUUCCUGGUGUAGCGGUGAAAUGCGCAGAUAUCAGGAGGAACACCAAUGGCGAAGGCAGCACUCUGGGACGUGACUGACGCUGAGACGCGAAAGCGUGGGGAGCAAACAGG
rnacentral:rRNA from 1 species